UAGGGAAUCUUCCGCAAUGGGCGAAAGCUUGACGGAGCAACGCCGCGUGAGUGAUGAAGGUCUUCGGAUCGUAAAACUCUGUUAUUAGGGAAGAACAAAUGUGUAAGUAACUAUGCACGUCUUGACGGUACCUAAUCAGAAAGCCACGGCUAACUACGUGCCAGCAGCCGCGGUAAUACGUAGGUGGCAAGCGUUAUCCGGAAUUAUUGGGCGUAAAGCGCGCGUAGGCGGUUUUUUAAGUCUGAUGUGAAAGCCCACGGCUCAACCGUGGAGGGUCAUUGGAAACUGGAAAACUUGAGUGCAGAAGAGGAAAGUGGAAUUCCAUGUGUAGCGUUGAAAUGCGCAGAGAUAUGGAGGAACACCAGUGGCGAAGGCGACUUCCUGGUCUGUAACUGACGCUGAUGUGCGAAGGCGUGGGGAUCAAACAGG
rnacentral:rRNA from 1 species